GAGAUCCCUGCCUACCUGAGGUCUUCCAAAUCUUUCCUCUGGAUUUUGAGAUCUUGAUUCUACUGCGUCCAUGGUCUAAGCAUGAUUGCCCACUUCUUGACUUGCUUCUCAUGGCUCAAAGUGAAGGCUACAAUUUCCUUCCUGUAUGACAGCAGUGACCAGCUACCACACCUUCUUGUUGAUGGAUUGAGGUGUUUUCAGACCUGAAGUUGCAUUCCCUCCAGCUGUUACUGUUGUAUACAAUUUUUACUAGGCAAGAAUAAAGGGACUUAAGGGAAGAAAGAAUAGAAGCGAAUUGUCAAAGGAAAUCCUGCUAUUGAUUUCCACCAUUUCCUUCUAUUGUUGAAUGUCGCAGAUGCUGAAGUAAAUCUCUACUGAGAUGGGAAUCCCACGUUAACUAUUGUCAUCCACAUUUGGUCUUCGCCAGCAUUUAAAUCAUUUUCUCUUCUUGUUUGAACGUCCAGAGGGGACAAUGAUAUUUUAAACAUUUUUCUGAGUGAGCAUACUUAAUGUUUCCCACUGGUCAUUGUCCUUCCAGUCAGGCUAAAUGCAUUGAAAUAAAAAUGUUUAACCUUCCAUAAAAUUUCUGGCAGCUCUUAUGUAACAACGCGAAUAAAUAUGUUUGCCAAAGCAAUCAACUUAUAUAAGUGACAUCAUGUUGACUUUUUUUUCCCUUCCCUAUUCUUUUAGAUUAAUUUAUAUGUAACAUAAUUGAAUUCCUCCAUGACACUGUUGAUUUUGUCCCUAAUGAGUUGUCUAAGAGUUUUCCAAGAAACCCUUCCAACCCUGAACCUAUGUCUGCCAAGGGACUUCAUAGUCAUCCUCCAUUCAUCAUACAUGACGUUGUCCUUGUAGGUUCAAGUGUUCUUUUUUCUGCAUGAGCAUGAGUAGCCCUUACUGGGUGGAUGUGCAUCUAGAAUGUUCUGAUCUACAGCUCUGCU